CAAAUUAAAUAGACAAAGCCAGAGACAGCAGGAGCUUUCAAAGCUUAAUACCCUGCCGAGGUUUGUAACUCAAUUGCUCGAAUGUCACUCGUGUGAACGACAAAGUGGCAUGGCAGCAGAGGUAUAACCUGCUGAACCCUGGCUGAUAAAGCUGGGGUUUUUGCUUUGAGUA
rfam:Gloeocapsa sp. PCC 7428, complete genome.